UAAGACGAACCGUGCGAACGUUGUUCGGAAUCACUGGGCUUAAAGGGCGCGUAGGCGGGUCGGUCAGUCCGGGGUGAAAGCCCCCAGCUCAACUGGGGAAGGGCCUCGGAAACUGCCGGCCUGGAGGAAGGGAGGGGUCGCGGGAACUUCCGGUGGAGCGGUGAAAUGCGUUGAUAUCGGAAGGAACGCCGGUGGCGAAAGCGCGCGACUGGCCCUUUACUGACGCUGAGGCGCGAAAGCCAGGGGAGCAAACGGGAUUAGAUACCCCGGUAGUCCUGGCCCUAAACGAUGAGGACUAGCUUGGGGACACGUCAUGGGUUCCCAGGCGAAGCAAAAGUAUUAAGUCCUCCGCCUGGGGAGUAUGGUCGCAAGGCUG
rnacentral:rRNA from 1 species